rnacentral:rRNA from 1 species
UACGAAGGGGGGCUAGCGUUGCUCGGAAUGACUGGGCGUAAAGGGCGCGUAGGCGGUUCGUACAGUCAGACGUGAAAUUCCCGGGCUCAACCUGGGGGCUGCGUUUGAUACGUGCGGGCUUGAGUUCGGAAGAGGGUCGUGGAAUUCCCAGUGUAGAGGUGAAAUUCGUAGAUAUUGGGAAGAACACCGGUGGCGAAGGCGGCGACCUGGGUCCGAUACCUGACAUUCAGACACGACAGCAUGGGGAGCGAACGGG